rnacentral:lncRNA from 1 species
ACAUUAUCUUCAUCCUGAAAGAUCAAUCUAGACAUUCUGACUUCUCUCUUGAUUAGAUGACUCCUCCCAGGACCUCCAUUUAAGAAUAUUUUCCUUGCUUUUGUUGCGAUGAUGUUGAUAUAAAAGCAGAAUAAAGAUUGAAGAAGGAUGAAAAAGUAUAAAGAAGAACCACUAGAAAGAAAAGGGGGAGGAUUUAAAUGCUAAGUAUUGCCACUCCAACUUCCUUCAAAGUCAGCAGAUUCCUUUUUUGUAUGAGUCCAUCCAUACUUUGACACCUUUCUGCAGAAUAUUACGUGAAGUCCAGUCCUUUAUUGGCUCUACCAUGUCAUCUCUCAAGAAUAAUAGAUUGUUAAGAGUAAUAAAUUUAUACCAUAACAUGCCAUAUAGUAGAGUGAGAAGAGCAAUUGAUUUGACAUUAAAAGUCUUAUAUUCAGAUCUCAGCUUGUCCACUCACUGAUUUUGUAACCUCAGACAGGUUACUUCGUCUUUGCAAAGACUUAGUCUCAUCUGCAAAACAAGAGAUCAAAUUAAAUGAUUUCUAAGAUUUGUUCUAAUGCUUAUGAUCUAUGGCCCUGUAAAUGUGAAUGGGACAGUGCUUAGCACAAUGUUUUGUACCUAAUAAAUGUUUAAUAAAGGCUAGUGGACUGAUUGCU